GAGUUUGAUCGUGGCUCAGGAUGAACGCUGGCGGCGUGCCUAACACAUGCAAGUCGAACGGAGUUAUUCGAGGAAGUUUUCGGAUGGAAUCGAAUAACUUAGUGGCGGACGGGUGAGUAACGCGUGGGAAACCUGCCCUGUACUGGGGGAUAACACUUAGAAAUAGGUGCUAAAACCGCAUAAGCGCACGGGACCGCAUGGUCUUGUGUGAAAAACUCCGGUGGUACAGGAUGGUCCCGCGUCUGAUUAGCCAGUUGGCAGGGUAACGGCCUACCAAAGCGACGAUCAGUAGCCGGCCUGAGAGGUUGAACGGCCACAUUGGGACUGAGAUACGGCCCAGACUCCUACGGGAGGCAGCA
rnacentral:rRNA from 1 species